rnacentral:rRNA from 1 species
CGCCUGUUUAUCAAAAACAUCUUUUCUUGUUAGUUUUUGAAGUAUGGCCUGCCCGCUGAUUUUAGGUUGAAGGGCCGCGGUAUUUUGACCGUGCAAAGGUAGCAUAAUCAUUAGUUCUUUAAUUGUGAUCUGGUAUGAAUGGCUUGACGAGGCAUGGGCUGUCUUAGGAUUGGGAUUUUUUAUUGAAUUUGGUUUUUGAGUUAGAAUUCUUAAAUGUUUUUAUGGGACGAGAAGACCCUAUAGAGUUUGACAUUUAUUUAUACGGCGUUUUGGUUUGUUGUGUAGUUGCUUUGUGUUAAUGUGUUUUGUUGGGGUGAUGGGAAGAAUUUUCUUAACUCUUCUUUGUUUUGGUAUAUUGAUUUAUAUUAUUUUUGAUCCAUUUAUUUUGAUUAUAAGAUUAAAUUACCUUAGGGAUAACAGCGUAAA